UUAAUUCUUAAAUCAUUAGGUCACAGCCGUAAACUUUCUUAUAAGUCUAACAAAUAACUAACUAUAUAAACCAUCAAAUAGUUGUGAACCAACAAAACCCUAGUUUUAUUUUCACAUGAACUUGAAAGAUAUAUAAGCAACAAUCGAUUAACAAAAUUUAAUAAAUUAUGCAUGAAAAUAGUGAUUCACUAUUUUCAAUCGUGUUUAUGCUAUUAGUUUCGAUCUAUAGUCAUGCCCUAUUAAUAAACAGUAACGAUAUGCAUAUGUAUGAUUAAAUAAUUAGCAACUAGGUGAUAACCCGCGCCCUGCGCGGAGUAAAUAGAUUUCAAAAUAUUAUCACUUUUAAUUUGUAGACAUAAUAAAAAAUUAAAGUCAUAGCAAGAAAUACUAUAUGUUAUAAAGUAAGGGUUAGACGAAAUUUAGUAUAUCAAUCUAAAUUAAGCUGCAGAAUUUUUGUUUAAAAAUUGUAUAUUUGUUUGCAUAAAAUAAAUUAUAAAUAUAAAAUAAAACGAAACAUAAGCAAUAGACUAAUAAAAUAUAAAAGAAACAAUGUCUUGAAUGGUUUCAAAUCGGAAACAGAGUUAAAGCUAGCCAUUUGAUUGCUUGAGAGAAUGUUUUGAUAUGAGCAAAGUCGAGAAGAAAAGUGUGGUGAGUUUUCUAAAUUAUAGAAGCCGUAUAUUUAUACUAAAAAGGAAUCGCCAUGGGGUCGGUCAUAUGGAUUCAAAAUAAUGGCCGUAACUAAAUCGAAUAUUACACAUAACUUGCGCUCCAAUCUUAGUCGAGAAUUAUUUUAAUAUUGUAAAUAGUUAAUGCAAACUUCCUUUUAUCAAUCGCAAUUGAACAAAUUCAAGAAAGUUCAUGAUUAUUAAUUGAUUACAAUAAUUUGAACCUUAAUCUACGUUCCUUAUAUACAAAAGUCAAGUCCUCACAAAUCACGUAUUAUUACCAUCAAUUUACCAAAUUUGUAAUUUAAAAAUAUAUCAAAGUUAUUAGAAGUUUCCUUUUUCCCAAUCAUCAAUCAAUUUCUUCCUUGCAAAUCACGUUUAAAUCAUGGGCAAUUUGCUCCGCCAUUAUUUGCUUUAUGCAAGCUGGCGUUAAAAUCUUAAUUACGAUAGAUCAUAUAAGGUAAGUUUUUAUAAUUGUAUGCCAGAAAAUCGUAUUUUACCUUAGUUUCUACAACGCAAGGCGGAGAUCAUCUAACAAUUUAAUGAAACGGGGCAAGUAUAUGCCAUAUGCAUGGUUCUUCUGUUUCACUAUUUUAAAACAAAGUUUUCCUCUUGAUAUAUUUUUAAGAGAACAAAUAUUUUUUUCGUAUUUUUAAGAAAAUCAAUCACUUGAGCACGUAUUGAUCAUCAAAUACUUUUUAGGAUUUUUCAGAAAACAAACUUUGAUUGAUAAUCGUACAUUAAUUUUUUCGCAUCUAUAUUCAUUUUGAAUAAAAAUUAGACCACUACGUAUGUCAGUAAUGUUUUUGUAUUGAAACAAAUUAAUGAAAAAACUUCAGUCAAGGUAAUUAACAUAAUUUUAAAAUCUUUGAUGUAAUACGUAGAACUUCGGUUAAGGUAACUAACGCAAGAAAUAAAUGAUAAGGUUUGAUGAUCAACGUAUAUAUGUGACAAAUGUAGACAAAACUAAGGAAAUUAUAAAGUUUUGAUCAAUGGCAUGUUGUGUAAUUACUCUAGUUAACAAAGGGGUUUUAAAUAGAAUAGGUGAGGGAGCUUGUGGAGUUGCCACGUAAGAAAUGGCACACUUGUAAUAAACACAUGAACUAAAGGUUAUUUAUUUUUAAUGCUCCUCAAAUAAUAAUAAAGGGAUAAGCAGAAACAAACUAAAUGCAAAUGAGUUGAGCAAUAAUCAUGGCGUCAAGUAAUAACAAAUUAUACGAAUAUAAAUAUUGAAACUAACGAGAUUGAAUUUAGCUUAUAAAGUCGAUACGAUCACAUCAAAGUGAUCUAAUAAUUUUCUUUCCUUGGAAAGAGGUCAAAUAAAUAUUAUCGACUAAAACUUUUAAACUCAAUAAGCUAGAUGAAUCAUGAGUUUGAUAAUAAACAUGAUUCUAGUAUUGAUAAAUAAUACUUCAAUUAAGUAUCGAUAAUAUUAGAUCCACUAUUACAACCAUGAAUUGAUAAUAAACAUGGAUUGAAGAAAGUUUCAAUAAAUAUUAAGAAUGUAGCAGAAAAUAGAAUUUGAUACCUCUUAGCUCAAGAUUGAGAGAGUUUCAUGCUGAUAACGUAUUAUAAGUAAGAAGAGAAAAAAUGAAUUGGUGUAUCUUAUUCCAUGAAUAAUGAGUUCUUUAUAUAGGCUACAAUAGCUUGGGGACAAAGUAUAACUAAGAGAACAAGUAGACUUGAGAAUCAAGUAAAUUUAAGACUUCUCAUAUGGACAUCACAUAAUAUUCAAAACAAAUUCGUUUUUUUUGUUCAAUCCCAAUAUAUAAAAGGGAUUGAGGGAGAGAUUUGAAGCUAUACACGUCGGAUUGGAAAUUCAUCCAAUCAGAGAGCUUAAAAUUGCCAUGUCACUGCUUUAAACUGGACUUGUGUGUGGGAUUUCUUCAAAUUUCCAUCAGGCCCAACCCAGCCUAUGCCGAGAAACUGUAUCGUCUUCAAACAUCGAGGGUCUCUCUCCCCGACUAUUCCACUUUAUCUUCUCUAAUGUCUGAUUUUUUUUCCUCAGUUACUUUCUCAAUCAAUAAUGAACUUAAAGCUAUUCUUGAAUGUUUUAUUCCACCUCCCUUGAAUAUAGCUCUCAACCUACAAAUCUCCAGUCGUUGUCUACUUCUGCUGAAACCACCCCCAAGAGAGAAGCUAAGGCACAUGAGGUGGUCAAUGGAACCGGAGCUGAGCUUGAUCAGAUAAGGUCGGAUGUCUAGAGUCUAGAUAGACAGAAGCCAUCGGCGGUGACAACUGUUCUUAACAGCGAGAUAGCCAAGGCUAAAGCUAAAUCGGACUGAGCCAUGGAGAAUAAGGCGGACUCUUCGACAAUAAGUUAGCAAAGGAAGGUGAAAACUGACUAUACCUUUGUUGUGGAGUUGACAAUUUUGGACGAAUAAUGAGAUUCUUGGGUUUGGUUUUGAAACAUGGCUUCUCUUAAGCUUGAGCGAAGACAUGAGCAACCAUGAACGCGGUAUGGAGAAGACCACCGAUCACUUACAUCGUCAAACUGUGAACUCCAAGAAGAAUUGUCUGACGUGGAGAUCAAAGCUAGGGCAGCAAUUGGAGCUGUUGAGGCAGCUCAAAACCCAAGCAAUCUCAAGGUUAUGAAAACUCAGAUUAUGCUUAUUGCUUACGAAAGCCAAGGCCACCAACCCCAUGAAGCUAACGGUUCUCACCAGUUUCUCUACAACACUCAACAUACACAAAUCCAUAUAACCUAAACUCAUUGCAUAGAUCCACUGCAUCAAACGCGAGUUAAUAUAUGUCCUUAAACUUUUGGGAUCUUUAUGAUUCAUUUAGUACUAGAGACGGUUUCAGUUACUAACAUUUUUAUACAAGUGUAAGUGUGUCCAGGUAUAUAUAAAUUGUGAGCUAAUGUUACCUGGGAAGUUUGUGCUAUAGAGAGAAGAUAAGUUUUCGUCACUCUGGUGGAAAGAGUAUGCAGAUUGCAGCCAAGUCUCUCUACCACAAGUCGUUCCUAAAAAUAAAUCGAAUAAGCAUUGAAAAUCAUUUAGAAACUUUUGUCUCUUCUACUCUAUAUGAAGUUGAGGAGGAGAGGUUUGGUGUACAUGUUAAGGGUGGGCUAAAUGAGGUACCAUCGUUCUUUGCGGUGUUUUAGAAUUUUUAUUUAAAUGAUAACAUGUUGAACCUUUAGAGUCCUUAUAUCUAACUUAUGUUUCUGACCAAGGAACCAUAAUACUGUUGGUGGACUUGGUGAGGAGGCAUUGUUUCCUGUGUAUGGAAUGGAGAUAAUCGGCCUGUGCUUAGAGUCCAGAAACUGUUACAGAACACUUGGAGCUUCCAUAUCAUAACAAGGAGAACGAGCCCAAGAACUGGAGAGAUCGCUAGAGCUCAAAUAAAGGGUCUGCAGAGGCGCUAAAUUUUAAAUUGAGAUGUUAUCUUUUUUGUUUGUUUUAGUAUAUCAGUUUGGUCUAUGAUGUUUAAAUCUAUGUAAGUUCUCGAUAUUUUUAUGAUAAUCCAGAAAUUCCAUUUGA